CUUCUGCUGAAAUCACACGUUGACUUUUACUUUGUCGUCUCUCUGCUGUAGCAGUCUGAUCAUUUGGUGAUGAGUUUUGUGACAGUCCAGUCUGUGAACAUCAUGUUACUGAGUCUCCUCUUUAUUCCAAAGCCUUCGACUGCUUGUCCUGAGUAUUCAGACCUCUUCAUCACUGCACCAACAGAGAUGGAAGCUCUGAGUGGAUCAUGUUUACAA